GAGUUGCACCCGUGAGGUUUACAAAACAAUCUUUAGGGUUUAUGUGAGGCAGAGGUGAUUCUGUGCAGUUGAGUUCCCUUCAGGGUUUGGAGGCUGCUCUGAACUCUGUUAGCUCUUCUCUCACUAUCUUUUUCCUCAGGGUAAUAGGAAUAGAAUGAAUAUUUGUUUCACUGAAACUCUAGUAUUUAUAGCCUAAUAUUGGUAGCUUAAUGGGCUUUUGAGAGAGGUCCAAGUCUGAGAUUUUUU
rnacentral:lncRNA from 1 species